AAAAUAGUAGUAUAGUAGUAUUUUUUCCUUCCAAGAAAAAGGCCCAGCAAAGUCGAUGGCUAUUUUA
rnacentral:tRNA from 1 species